GACGAACGCUGGCGGCGUGCUUAACACAUGCCAGUCGGACGGAAAGGCCCUGCUUUUGUGGGGUGCUCGAGCGGCGAACGGGUGAGUAACACGUGAGUAACCUGCCCUUGACUUUGGGAUAACUUCAGGAAACUGGGGCUAAUACCGGAUAGGAGCUCCUGCUGCAUGGUGGGGGUUGGAAAGUUUCGGCGGUUGGGGAUGGACUCGCGGCUUAUCAGCUUGUUGGUGGGGUAGUGGCUUACCAAGGCUUUGACGGGUAGCCGGCCUGAGAGGGUGACCGGCCACAUUGGGACUGAGAUACGGCCCAGACUCCUACGGGAGGCAGCAGUGGGGAAUAUUGCACAAUGGGCGGAAGCCUGAUGCAGCAACGCCGCGUGCGGGAUGACGGCCUUCGGGUUGUAAACCGCUUUCGCCUGUGACGAAGCGUGAGUGACGGUAAUGGGUAAAGAAGCACCGGCUAACUACGUG
rnacentral:rRNA from 1 species